CCCUUAGAUGUCCUGGGCUGCACGCGCGCUACACUGAUGUGUCCAGUAAGCACCUAACCUCUUCCGAAAGGAACGGGUAACCUUUGCAAAGCACAUCGUGAUGGGGAUAGAUUAUUGCAAUUAUUAGUCUUGAACGAGGACUUCCUAGUAAGCACAAGUCAUCAGCUUGUGUUGAUUACGUCCCUGCCCUUUGUACACACCGCCCGUCGCUCCUACCGAUUGAAUGUUCCGGUGAGCUCUUCGGACUGCGCGGUCUGCAGUUUCUGCGUUCCGUGCGGAAAGUUGCGCAAACCUUAACAUUUAGAGGAAGGAGAAGUCGUAACA
rnacentral:rRNA from 1 species